rnacentral:lncRNA from 1 species
AUGCAUGUGUGUGUGAAAGAGUAUCGGAGUGCGUGUGUGAGUGUGUCUAUGUGUGUCUAUGCGUGUUGUGUGUGUGCCCGGGGCUGGGCAGGGAGCCUUGCACCAGGGCUGGGGCUGACAACAGCUGCCCUCAGCUGCAGCCUGGGUUGUGCCCCCCUGGCACACACACCCCCACACACGUACAAACAUACACACAGACCCACAUGUACUCACACUUGCACACACUCGCACAGACUCACACACACAUGCAUGCACACUCACACAUACAUGCACACACACAUUGACACUCUCACACUUGCACACACACAUUCGCACACAUUCACACGCACACUCACACUUGCACACACAUGUAUCCACACUGCCACACACACUCACAUACACAUAUUCACAGGUUUGCACACUCUCAGUCACACACUCUCAGACACACUCACACAUACCCAUACGCGCACACACACUCGUAUACACUCACAGACAUACACACAUACACUCACACAUACACUCACACACACACACACUCACACUCACUCCCCCCUCCAGCUCCUCCUCUCCCCUCCCCCCCCCUCCCCAGCUCACUGGGGGCCACCGGGGGCCCCGUGGCGGCGCGCAGGGACUAAUUAUCCCCAAUUAACAACGUGCCUCGCUCCAGCACCGAGCAGGAGGGUCAGCAGGGGGGUGUCCCACACCUCUAAACCCCCCCCACACUCUCAGCUCCCCCCCAAGCCCCCCCCCUUGCCCGCUCCCGCCGCGUCCUUCCCAAUGUCAGAGGGGCAGCGGCGCCCCCCCCAGCGGGCAGCCCCGAGCACGGGGGGGGGGUGCACGCCCACCCUCACGCCCACCCGCUCACACUCACACUCACACUCACAUUCACACGCACGGAUCCCGAAAAGGUUACAGGGUUGCUCUCUAGCUCCACUUAACCUGCAAUUUACGAAGCCGGGGAAGAGGGGGGGCUCUCCCCCUGCUUUCCCCACGCCGAGCUGCCACCUCCCCGCGGCCCCGCUGGGGGAACGCAUACAGGCUAGCAAAUUUUGGGGUGUGUGGGGGAAGGUAAAAGGGGGGUACACAUUAUGCGAACUCCUAAAAAAAAUGCAACCCCUUCCCAGUAGCACGCUCGUAACCGCAACCGCCCCCCCGCAACACCCCCCAAACGAGCCCAUGCACCCCCCCCGCAGCCACAAAGCAUGGGGAGAGAAGGGGUCGGGGGGAGAGGGCUCGCAUGCAUCGCAGGGCACAGAAAUUCCCCCCAGCCCCCCAUAA